rnacentral:lncRNA from 1 species
UUCUGGGGCGUGGCCAAGUACACAAGAUGCCUCUUCAGAAAACCAUCUUCAUGUUAAAAGGAGGUCUACUGAAAACUAACUACCGCUAGAUGAGUCACCUCAAGGUGUCUUAGACGACUCCUGUGAAAAGAUCCUUUGAGCCACAAAGAAAGAGGUUUUGACCCACAGUGCUAACCACUGACCUAAAGGUUUAUAUUGCAAAGUCGGUUAUAGUGAGAGCAAAGAAUGAAACUGGAUUGGAAAGACAGAAGCUCGGGGACAACCAGAAGGACCCACAGAGACUCUAACAAAUUCAAAAGACUGACGAAAACAUUGACUUAAGAACCACAAAAAUUUGACCGUGCUUCUUCACAGGUGACCGACUCGGGAGGCAACAGAGAGGGCAAGAAAAAAGAAGUGGUCGUCAGGAUUUCACACACUGCUUCAUGACAAAGACAAUCUUAAAGCAAAUAUUUUGCAUUGCCUAAAAGCUGAGGUUUACCUGGGAACCCUGGUGACUGAUUUGAGUGUCUUCAACCUUUUCACAAAGAAAGUAUAGAAACAUGAAGCCUUGCUUUGGGACUGGAGUGUGUGCCACAUUUGGAAAACUCUGGGAAAUGGGGGUUGACAGAAGCCUGUGGACUUCAGAGACGUGGUUGGCAAGAACUCAAAGGAUAAUAUGGUGCAGUGCCUGAAUUGUGCUCCCAGAUCAAGGCUGAAAUUUAAUUGUAUGCAGAACUACAGCAGGUAGCACGCAACUGUGAGACAGACUGAGCACGGAAGAACCAAGCUGGUCUGGAGGAUGUUGCUGUGAGAAGUAAAUGGCAAAGAGAAGUUAACUGCUCAUCACCUGACUUCGGCAAAAAUCACCACCUUACACGUUACCCACGUGUGAAUGGCAAUGUUUCUCAUUAGAACGCAAGAUCCCUAGAAGCAGCUAAGUUCUUGCUACCUUCUGCAGGAUGAUUACAGUGUACAAUGGUAUCUGAUAACCGGUCCAUAAAUGCCUGUUGAAGGACUAAUUGAAUGAUCAAUACUACAGAAUACAGAUGUGAGUUAAAUGAU